ACAUAACCUCUUUUCCUGGGAGGGAUUCCUCUUGGGAAAAGAUGUUAUGUAACCUCGUUGCCUGGGAGGAAUCCCUCCUAGGAAAACAGAUUAUUUAAU